AUUCUUACCUGGCAAGGGAGAUACCAUGGUCACAAAGGUGGCUUUCCCAGGGGCAGGCUUAGCCAUUGCAUUCCGAUGUGCUAUGAUUUUCCCAAAUGAGGGAAACUUUACUGCAUAAUCUGUGGUGUAGUGGGCUGCAUUCACACUUUCCCCUG
rnacentral:snRNA from 1 species